UACGAAGGGGGCUAGCGUUGCUCGGAAUCACUGGGCGUAAAGCGCACGUAGGCGGCUUUCUAAGUCAGGGGUGAAAUCCUGGAGCUCAACUCCAGAACUGCCCUUGAUACUGGAAAGCUUGAGUUCGGGAGAGGUGAGUGGAACUGCGAGUGUAGAGGUGAAAUUCGUAGAUAUUCGCAAGAACACCAGUGGCGAAGGCGGCUCACUGGCCCGAUACUGACGCUGAGGCGCGAAAGCGUGGGGAGCAAACGGG
rnacentral:rRNA from 1 species